rnacentral:rRNA from 1 species
GGCGGAUGCCUAGGCUCUCAGAGGCGAAGAAGGACGUGAUAAGCUGCGAAAAGCUACGGGAAGGCGCACAUAGCCAUUGAUCCGUAGAUGUCCGAAUGGGGCAACCCAAUAUCUUGAAGAGAUAUUAUCCCGCAAGGGAGGCGAACCCGGUGAACUGAAACAUCUAAGUAACCGGAGGAGAAGAAAACAACAGUGAUUCCGCAAGUAGUGGCGAGCGAACGCGGAACAGCCCAAACCCACUUGGUUACGGCUAAGUGGGGGUAAUAGGACCCAAAUGUCUGUCUAUUUACAUGAACUGGAAUGAUCUGGGAAGGUCAACCAUAGGGGGUGAGAGUCCCGUACAGG